rnacentral:misc_RNA from 1 species
UGCUUCUCCUUCAGCUUCAUCAUCAUCGGAUAGCUCUCUGGAUGAACCACUAGUUGUUGAUUUCACCUGCACCCCAGGUUUCUUCUGCACUGCGGGCAAAGAGGGUAUUCCAACUGGUCCACCAGAAUCCUUAUCUUGAACUUUUCUCACUUCCUGACCAGAUCCUUUAGAGGUGAUGUGAGAUACUGAUUGUGAUGCACUAGCAGUCUCUGGUCCUUUAUCAGGUGCAAUGGAACUCGCAUCUUGAGGCUUUAGAUUCUUCGCCCGAGUCAAUGCGACUGCAGCACAAGCCAAAUCGAGGCGACUUUUGAGAAAAGCUUGAUACUCUUCAGCAUCAACGUGAAUAUUCUGCGGAGUCGCAGAGCCAAACAACGUCGCUGCCGGCUUCGAAUUUAACGCCGUGCCGGAAUUGAGAUUAGGAGUAGAAAG